rnacentral:rRNA from 1 species
CGCAGCCGCGGUAAUUCCAGCUCCAAUAGCGUAUAUUAAAGUUGUUGCAGUUAAAAAGCUCGUAGUUGAAUUUCGGGGUCAGUAGGUUGGUCAUGCCUCUGGUAUGUACUCGCCUCACUGAUUCCUCCUUCCUGAUGAGCCGUAAUGCCAUUAAUUUGGUGUUGCGGGGAAUCUGGACUGUUACUUUGAAAAAAUUGAGUGUUUAAAGCAGGCUCACGCUUGAAUACAUUAGCAUGGAAUAACGAAAUAGGACGUUUGAUUUUGUUUUGUUGGUUUCUAGGAUCGACGUAAUGAUUAAUAGGGAUAGUUGGGGGCAUUAGUAUUCAAUUGUCAGAGGUGAAAUUCUUGGAUUUAUUGAAGACUAACUACUGCGAAAGCAUUUGCCAAGGAUGUUUUCAUUAAUCAAGAACGAAAGUUAGGGAUCGAAGACGAUCAGAUACCGUCGUAGUCUUAACCAUAAACUAUGCCGACUAGGGAUCGGAUGAUGUUAUUUUAAUGACUCAUUCGCACCUUAAC